AUAGAGGUAGAGCUACUGAUUGGAUGCGGGGCCUUCACCGGCUACCAAUUCCUGACAAACUCCGAAUGCUAUGAAAUGAUGUACAGCAGUGAGGGCAUGGGUGCUAAGGUCCAUGUCCGAGAGGGAAAGAACCCAGACCAUCAGCUAAGGUCCCAAAGUGUAUGCUAAGUUGAAUAAACGAGGUUUGACUGCCCAGACAGCUAGGAUGUUGGCUUGGAAGCAGCCAUUCAUUUAAAGAGUGCGUAACAGCUCACUAGUCGAGCGGUCGAGCAUGGAUAAUAAUCGGGCAUAAGCAUAUCACCGAAGCUAUGGCAUCGAAAGAUGGGUAGGGGAGCAUUGUAGCGACGUUGAAGGUAAACUGUGAGGUUUGCUGGAGUUUCUACAAAAGAAAAUGUAGGCAUAAGUAACGAUAAUGCGGGCGAGAAACCCGCACACCGAAAGACUAAGGUUUCCUCAGCUAUGCUAAUCAGCUGAGGGUUAGUCGGGACCUAACGCGAACCCGAAAGGGGUAGUGGAUGGACAACAGGUUAAUAUUCCUGUACCUGCUCUCACUAAAAGUGACGGAUUGCCCAGAUAUCUACGUGGUGACGGAAGUCCACGUUGAGCAUAGCCUUCGGGCGAAGCGAUGAUAAGUAAGCAGUUCCAAGAAAAGCGAGAGAAGCAGCCCGUACCGUAAACCGACACAGGUAGUUGGGAUGAGUAUUCUAAGGUGCUCGAGAGAUUCAUGGCUAAGGAACUAGGCAAAAUCGACCCGUAACUUCGGGAGAAGGGUCGCCACGUUUCGACGUGGCCGCAGUGAAAAGAUCCAGGCGACUGUUUAUCAAAAACACAGGACUCUGCUAAAUCGAAAGAUGACGUAUAGGGUCUGACACCUGCCCGGUGCCGGAAGGUUAAGUGGAGUUGUUAGCUUCGGCGAAGCAAUCAAAUGAAGCCCCGGUAAACGGCGGCCGUAACUAUAACGGUCCUAAGGUAGCGAAAUUCCUUGUCGGGUAAGUUCCGACCUGCACGAAUGGUGCAACGAUCUGGAUACUGUCUCGGCCAUGAGCUCGGUGAAAUUGUAGUAUCGGUGAAGAUGCCGAUUACCCGCUACGGGACGAAAAGACCCCGUGCACCUUUACUAUAGCUUCGUAUUGACUUUGGAUAAGUAAUGUGUAGGAUAGGUGGGAGACUUUGAAGCGGCAUCGCUAGGUGUUGUGGAGUCACCCUUGAAUACCACCCUUUACUUAUCUAGGGCUAAUCUGUUUACAGAGACAGUGCGUGGUGGGUAGUU
rnacentral:rRNA from 1 species